rnacentral:rRNA from 1 species
GAUGAACGCUGGCGGCGUGCCUAAUACAUGCAAGUCGAGCGAACAGACGAGGAGCUUGCUCCUCUGACGUUAGCGGCGGACGAGUGAGUAACACGUGGAUAACCUACCUAUAAGACUGGGAUAACUUCGGGAAACCGGAGCUAAUACCGGAUAACAUGUUGAACCGCAUGGUUCAACAGUGAAAGACGGUCUUGCUGUCACUUAUAGAUGGAUCCGCGCCGCAUUAGCUAGUUGGUAAGGUAACGGCUUACCAAGGCAACGAUGCGUAGCCGACCUGAGAGGGUGAUCGGCCACACUGGAACUGAGACACGGUCCAGACUCCUACGGGAGGCAGCAGUAGGGAAUCUUCCGCAAUGGGCGAAAGCCUGACGGAGCAACGCCGCGUGAGUGAUGAAGGUCUUCGGAUCGUAAAACUCUGUUAUUAGGGAAGAACAAAUGUGUAAGUAACUAUGCACGUCUUGACGGUACCUAAUCAGAAAGCCACGGCUAACUACGUG